AUUGAACGCUGGCGGCAGGCCUAACACAUGCAAGUCGAACGAGUGGCGGACGGGUGAGUAAUGUCUGGGAAACUGCCUGAUGGAGGGGGAUAACUACUGGAAACGGUAGCUAAUACCGCAUACCAUCGGAUGUACCCAUAUGGGAUUAGCUAGUAGGUGGGGUAACGGCUCACCUAGGCGACGAUCCCUAGCUGGUCUGAGAGGAUGAUCAGCCACACGGGAACUGAGACACGGUCCAUACUCCUACGGGAGGCAGCAGUGGGUAAUAUUGCACAAUGGGCGCAAGCCUGAUGCAGCCAUGCCGCGUGUAUGAAGAAGGCCUUCGGGUUGUAAAGCACUUUCAGCGGGGAGGCGUUACCCGCAGAAGAAGCACCGGCUAACUCCGUGCCAGCAGCCGCGGUAAUUC
rnacentral:rRNA from 1 species